UCCCUGGAGGACUAGUGGUUAGGCCUCAGCACUCACUGCUGCGGCCCAGGUUCAAUUCCCGCCCAGGAAA
rnacentral:tRNA from 1 species